rnacentral:rRNA from 1 species
UGGGUAACCUGCCUCAAAGAGGGGAAUAGCCUCCCGAAAAGGGAGAUUAAUACCGCAUAAUAUGUUUAAGUCGCAUGACUUUAACAUCAAAGGAUUUUUCUUUUAAGAAAUUCCACUUUGAGAUGGACCCCGCGGCGCAUUAGCUAGUUGGUGAGGUAACGGCUCACCAAGGCAACGAUGCGUAGCCGACCUGAGAGGGUGAUCGGCCACAUUGGAAUUGAGACACGGUCCAGACUCCGUAGGGAGG